GUCGUUCGUUCGUCCGUCUGUCCCGCUUCAGGUUAAAGUUUUUGGUCGAGGUAGUUUUUGAUGAAGUUGAAGUCCAAUCGACUUCAAACUUGGUACACAUGUUCCCUAUGAUAUGAUCUUUCUAAUUUUAAUGCCAAAUUAGAGAUUUCACCCCAAUUUCACGGUCCACUGAACAUAGAAAAUGAUAGUGCAAAUUUCAGGUUAAAGUUUUUGGCUUCAGGUUAAAGUUUUUGGUCAAGGUAGUUUUUGAUGAAGUUGAAGUCCAAUCAACUUGAAACUAGUAUACAUGUGCCUAUGAUAGAUCUCUAAUUUUUUAAUGCCAAAUUAGAGUUUUGACCCCAAUUUUACGGUUCACUGAACAUAGAAAAUGAUAGUGCAAAUUUCAGGUUAAAGUUUUUUGUCAAGGUAGUUUUUGAUGAAGUUGAAGUCCAAUCAACUUGAAACUUAGUAUACAUGUGCCCUAUGAUAUGAUCUUUCUAAUUUAAAUGCCAAAUUAGAGUUUUGACCCCAAUUUACGGUUCACUGAACAUAGAAAAUGAUAGUGCAAAUUUCAGGUUAAAGUUUUUUUGUCAAGGUAGUUUUUGAUGAAGUUGAAGUCCAAUCAACUUGAAACUUAGUAUACAUGUGCCCUAUGAUAUGAUCUUUCUUUCUAAUUUAAAUGCCAAAUUAGAGUUUUGACCCCAAUUUUACGGUUCACUGAACAUAGAAAUGAUAGUGCGCAAAUUUCAGGUUAAAGUUUUUGGCUUCAGGUUAAAAGUUUUUUUGGUCAAGGUAGUUUUUGAUGAAGUUGAAGUCCAAUCAACUUGAAACUUGGUAUACAUGUGCCCUAUGAUAUGAUCUUUCUAAUUUAAAUGCCAAAUUAGAGUUUUGACCCCAAUUUUACGGUUCACUGAACAUAGAAAAUGAUAGUGCAAAUUUCAGGUUAAAGUUUUUGGUCAAGGUAGAUUUUGAUAAAGUAGAAGUCCAAUCAACUUGAAACUUAGUAUACAUGUUCCCUUUGAUAAGAU
rnacentral:lncRNA from 1 species